CGCAUGACGGGGCAACUCGGCAUGUGAUUAAGCAGAAGUCAGCAGACGGCAUAGUAGCCCAACGCCCAUCGCCCAUCGCAAUGGAUGGGACAUGGUGAAGGCC
rfam:Shewanella baltica OS185, complete genome.